AACGCACAUUGUGCUUGCAGGAUUUUCCUGGAGGCAUGCAUGUCUGAGUGUCAGCACACCCUUCUCAGCAUCACAACUAACUAACUGGUUGGUUGUUGGUAGUUGGUUUUGAAAGGGGUUUUCAUUUGGAAACCCUCUUUUCCCCUCAUUAAUACUUUUAUAGACUGAACAAAACCCCAAAUUUGUGAACAAAUUAGUAGAGAAAAAGAAAGCAUUCUUACGACACUACAAAAGUAUUGUGUUCACAAACACGGAAUGUUCAUGUUAUAAAUGCGUUUAGCACCUGAUCUCAGCUUAUGCAGGGAAACCCGCCGAAUUUAA
rnacentral:misc_RNA from 1 species